rfam:Roseibium sp. TrichSKD4 genomic scaffold scf_1119120597012, whole genome shotgun sequence.
GGGCCGGUAGCUCAGGUGGUUAGAGCGCACGCCUGAUAAGCGUGAGGUCGGAGGUUCAAGUCCUCCUCGGCCCA